AGGUUUAACACAUGCAAGUCGAACGAGUGUAGCAAUACACGAGUGGCGCACGGGUGAGUAACGCGUGGAUAUCUGCCUUUUGGUUCGGAAUAACCCCGGGAAACUGGGGCUAAUACCGGAUGGUUCCUUCGGGAUAAAGAUUUAUCGCCAAAAGAUGAGUCCGCGUACGAUUAGCUAGUUGGUGAGGUAAUGGCUCACCAAGGCGACGAUCGUUAGCUGGUCUGAGAGGACGAUCAGCCACACUGGGACUGAGACACGGCCCAUACUCCUACGGGAGGCAGCAGUGGGGAAUAUUGGACAAUGGGGGCAACCCUGAUCCAGCCAUGCCGCGUGAGUGAUGAAGGCCUUCGGGUUGUAAAGCUCUUUUGGCGGGGACGAUGAUGACGGUACCCGCAGAAUAAGCCCCGGCUAACUUCGUGCCAGCAGCCGCGGUAAGACGAAGGGGGCUAGCGUUGUUCGGAAUUACUGGGCGUAAAGCGAGUGUAGGUGGUUGUCCAAGUUGGAUGUGAAAGCCUUGAGCUCAACUCAAGAAAUGCAUUCAGGACUGGAUGGCUAGAGGACCGGAGAGGAUAGUGGAAUUCCCAGAGUAGUGGUCAAAUACGUAG
rnacentral:rRNA from 1 species